UACGUAGGGUGCAAGCGUUGUCCGGAAUUAUUGGGCGUAAAGAGCGUGUAGGCGGCCCGAUUAGUCCGCUGUGAAAGUCCAGGGCUCAACCCUGGAAUGCCGGUGGAUACUGUCGGGCUAGAGUCCGGAAGGGGCGAGUGGAAUUCCUGGUGUAGCGGUGAAAUGCGUAGAGAUCGGGAAGAACAUCAGUGGCGAAGGCGGCCUGCUGGGCUGUUGCUGACGCUGAGGCGCGACAGCGUGGGGAGCAAACAGG
rnacentral:rRNA from 1 species